CAAUAGCGUAUAUUAAAGUUGUUGCAGUUAAAAAGCUCGUAGUUGGAUUUCUGGUAGGAGUGACCGUUCCGAACUUGAUUGUUCGUGUAUUGUGUUUUCUCCAGCCAUCCUUGUGGAGAACUUUUCUUGCAUUAAUUUGUAGGGAUUGGGACCCGCAUCGUGUACUGUGAAAAAAUUAGAGUGUUUAAAGCAGGCAAUCGCUUGAAUACAUUAGCAUGGAAUAAUAAGAUAGGACUUUGGUACUAUUUUGUUGGUUUGCAUACCAAAUUAAUGAUCAACAGGAACAGUUUGAGGAUAUUCGUAUGAACAUGUCAGAGGUGAAAUUCUUGGAUUUUGAUCAGACGAACUACUGCGAAAGCAUUUAUCAAGGAUGUUUUCAUUAA
rnacentral:rRNA from 1 species